GGAAAGUCGAACCCCUUUCGAUAACACAUAUCUCCCAUACUAUCUCUUUUGCUGCAUAACCAUGUGAUGCUUUGUCUGCAAAAAGGAUCCCUGGUGUCUGCUAAUGACCUCAAUAAUUCUUAACUCAGGACUUAAGGGGGCUGACUUGAGAACAUUGUGAAACUGGAAGCAGUUUCAACGCCCUUGCUUUAGGGAACUGAUGGUCUUCAAAGCCGUGGGUUUGGAUGGGGUGACGUAGCUGUUCAGUCCGUGGGGACGCAGAUGAGUGUGUGGUCCGUCUCUACCUUCAGCCUCCAGAGUGAGUAUCCUUACAUCAUAGAGAAUCCUUUGAAAACGUCACACCGAGACCUCAUCUAGAGAACCUCCAGACAAGUCCUCCAGCAGCAUCUAGAGAACCUCCAGAAGAAGUCCUCGAGGUGAAGGUGUCGGACUGCGGCUGAAGUAAUGCAGCAGAUGGACAUGGAUGGAGACGGGAUCCGAAACCUCAUGGUUCCUCAAGGGGGGUUGAAGGAACGGUGCUGGCCCUACAGGUGUCUGACCGCUGGGCUGCUGCUGCUGUGUGCCUUGUCCCUGGCUGGAAACGUAACUCAGUUUUACUGUG